GCGACCCGCUGGAGACGGACCCUGCGGGGAAGGAGCGGAGCGUCAGGGCUGUGCGGGCCGGUGGGGCCGGUCCAGGGCCGGGCGGGCGCUCACCGCAGGCGUCCAACACUUUGGUUUACCCUGGGACUUCCAGAGAACCUCCUGAAUUCUGGAGGAAGAGAAGCUGUCCCAAGUGUCACAAUGAGAACGAGCUGAGCACCAAGAGACCUUGAGUGACUUUUGGUGGGGGAACAAAGGAGAUUCCUCUGAACAUUCAGGAGCACGACAUCCAAGAUGCAGUGGUCAGAGAAAGACCCCAGGAUCCCCGGCCCACCUUCCCUGCCCUGCUGGGAGCCGGGCUGUGACCGCCCUGCCCCGCCGCUGCUUCGAGCCUUCGCUGCAUUGUAGCCCUGCUCGCCCUGCCUGCCCAGACCUGCGGGGGGUUCUCCGUUGGGAUACACCUCGUCUGCCAUCUGGGAUUUGUGCUCGUCCCUGCCGUUCCAGCCUGCCAUUCCAGCCUGCCAUUCCCAAG